rnacentral:rRNA from 1 species
AAUAGAUACCCCGGUAGUCCACGCCGUAAACGAUGAGUGCUAAGUGUUAGGGGGUUUCCGCCCCUUAGUGCUGCAGCUAACGCAUUAAGCACUCCGCCUGGGGAGUACGGUCGCAAGACUGAAACUCAAAGGAAUUGACGGGGGCCCACACAAGCGGUGGAGCAUGUGGUUUAAUUCGAAGCAACGCGAAGAACCUUACCAGGUCUUGACAUCCCACUGACCGCUAUGGAGACAUAGUUUUCCCUUCGGGGACAGUGGUGACAGGUGGUGCAUGGUUGUCGUCAGCUCGUGUCGUGAGAUGUUGGGUUAAGUCCCGCAACGAGCGCAACCCUUGAUCUUAGUUGCCAUCAUUUAGUUGGGCACUCUAAGGUGACUGCCGGUGACAAACCGGAGGAAGGUGGGGAUGACGUCAAAUCAUCAUGCCCCUUAUGACCUGGGCUACACACGUGCUACAAUGGACGGUACAAACGGUUGCCAACCCGCGAGGGGAGCUAAUCCGAUAAAACCGUUCUCAGUUCGGAUUGUAGGCUGCAACUCGCCUAC